GACGAACGCUGGCGGCGUGCCUAAUACAUGCAAGUUGAGCGAUGAAGAUUGGUGCUUGCACCACUUUGGAGAGCAGCGGACGGGUGAGUAACGCGUGGGGAAUCUGCCUUUGAGCGGGGGACAACAUCUGGAAACGAAUGCUAAUACCGCAUAACAUCUUUAAACAUAUGUUUCAAGAUUGAAAGAUGCUAUUGCAUCACUCAAAGAUGAUCCCGCGUUGGAUUUGCUAGUUGGUGAGGUAAAGGCCCACCAAGGCGAUGAUACAUAAGCGACCUGGAAGGGUGAUCCGCCACAAUGGGACCGAGGCACGGCUCAAGCCUCCUCGGGGAGGCGCAGGAGGGAAUCCUUCGGCAUGGAGGAAAGGCCGGCCGGGGAACGGCGGGGGAGUGGAGGAGGUUCUCCGAUCGUUAAACUCCGUUGAUAGGGGAGAACGUUAGUGGGAGUUAAAUGCGCAUCAAUUGACGGUAACUACUCAGAAAGGGACGGCUAACUACGUG
rnacentral:rRNA from 1 species